rnacentral:tRNA from 1 species
GCCGCCGUAGCUCAAUUGGUAGAGCGCCUGAUUUGUAAUCUGGAGGUUGCGGGUUCAAGUCCCACCGGCGGCU